rnacentral:lncRNA from 1 species
UGUAAUUGCCAAAUGAGACAGCACACAUCAAGUUUCUGAACAAUAUAUACCAACAUUUACUGUUAAUUAUACAAGGUUCAAUAUGAUCGUCAUUCAGAUGUUCCAGGGACUGCAUGUGGCGUACGAUAUCUUCCACAUCAGCGCGCAACGUAUCGGCGUGGGUGUCGUGCGUCGCAUGCAGUUGUUGGAACGUCUGAAUGAUGAUCGUGUUGAGCGGCGUGUAAUUAACAGUAAAUGUGUUGUUCAGAGGAUUGAUGUGUCCUGACUAUUAUACAUUCCUUAAUCACACAUUCUGCACUUCUGCACCGCCGCCAUCCUCCUGUUGGCGAAUUUUGAUACUGGAUUUUUUCUUUCGAGGUCGAAACCGCAUGUUUCAUUGUGUACAUCCAUCAAAUUUUGUUGCAUUUCGUCCAGUGCAUGACGCGCUAAAGAGUUCUGCACUCCUCACGUUAUUUUAUGGCCACCCAGUACAUUAGAUACGGAAUUUUUCUCCUACAACGUUUUUAACAUAUACCACAUUAUCAUUAGCUAUAAUUUGGAAUACAUGCAUGCCUAACGUUCUGCUUAAUCUCGUGAAAAAUGUAAAUAUCGCAUUUCAUUAUAAAUAGG